GACGAACGCUGGCGGCGUGCUUAACACAUGCAAGUCGAGCGGAAAGGCCCUUCGGGGUACUCGAGCGGCGGACGGGUGAGUAACACGUGAGUAACCUGCCCCAGACUUUGGGAUAACCCUCGGAAACGGGGGCUAAUACCGGAUACGACACAGCUUCGCAUGGGGUCUGUGUGGAAAGUUUUUCGGUUUGGGAUGGGCUCGCGGCCUAUCAGCUUGUUGGUGGGGUGAUGGCCUACCAAGGCGACGACGGGUAGCCGGCCUGAGAGGGCGACCGGCCACACUGGGACUGAGACACGGCCCAGACUCCUACGGGAGGCAGCAGUGGGGAAUAUUGCACAAUGGGCGGAAGCCUGAUGCAGCGACGCCGCGUGAGGGAUGACGGCCUUCGGGUUGUAAACCUCUUUCAGCAGGGACGAAGCGUAAGUGACGGUACCUGCAGAAGAAGCGCCGGCCAACUACGUG
rnacentral:rRNA from 1 species